GUAAACGCUCAUACGCAGAUUCGGAAUAAGAUCUUCUUUGCUCUCUUUUCGAUUUCUUAUUUUUAUCGUUGUUGUUCUCGUGUUCUGAUUGCUUGACGUGUGGUAAUUAACAGAUAUCCGGAUCCUCUGGGAAAUUAGGGUUUUCCUAGUUUCCUUAUUUAAACGGAAAUCGACAGUGCGAAUUUCGGUUCUCACAGUUAUGUCCUCCACCAGCUGGUUUGUUCACCUAUUAUGUCCCAUGACUUGCACCUGCCUGCUUACCUAGCUUCUUCAGUACAUUUCACAUGACAAUCACAAGCUGAAUGUGUGCUUGCUUCAUCUCUUGAUUAUUAUGAUUGGUUGGAAACUACUUCAUGGGAGGGAAAGGACAGCAUGGUGCAGAUGUUGAAGCAGCUUGCUAGCUGUCUCCUCUUACCCUUCUUUGGUCCCUCAGCUGGACACUCAUCCAAAGACCAUCUGAAAUAUAUAAACCUCUCCUCCAGCUGCUUUACCACAUUCUGAAACCUCAGAAAAAUCCACAAAAUUUUCAGAGAGAAAGAGAGAAAGAAGAAGAGAAAAUCAGUGAGAAAAUCAGGAAAUUAAAUCAAGAAAAAAAUUGUUGGUGAUUUGAUCUUCAGCCCUAGCUCAUUCAGUUUCUGUGAGAAAGAUCAGAAGUUCGGCCACAAUCUAAUCUUGGAGAAGAGGAUCAGCUGAGGCCAUCUAGUCCUUUGGUUCAUCUUGGUCAGAGGGGGAGUAAGGCUUUAGGUAUCCAACCAGUUCCAAGACUAAUCUCUUAGGUGAGUCUAGAUAGAUGUUGAGAUUGAUUAAGUUAGUAAAGUCUCUCAAGUUUAUAAGAAUGGUGUUAUGUUUACUUAUUGUGAACUAUACAUAAGAGUAAUCACGGUUAAUUCUAAUCUUAGUACUUGUGAACAAGUACUAAUCUUAACUAUGAAAUAAUCAUGGUUUAAUUAAGGAUUAAUCUUGGUUUAAUUAAGGAUUAAUCUUGGUUUAAUUAAGGAUUAAUCUUGGUUUAAUUAAGAAUUAAUCUGAAAUUAAUUAAAGAGUAAUCAUGAUUAAUUAAGUACUAAUCUUGGAUUAAUUAAAAAUUAAUAUGAGAUUAAUUAUGGAUUAAUCUAGGAUUAAUUAGAAGUUAAUUAUGAUUAAUUAAGGAUUAUUUAUCGA